AGAAUCAACGCUGGCGGCGUGCCUAACACAUGCAAGUCGAACGAGGACGGGUAGCAAUACCUUAGUAAAGUGGCGCACGGGUGAGUAACACGUGACUAACCUACCCUGGAGUGGGGGAUAACUGAGAGAAAUCUUAGCUAAUACCGCAUAACACCUACGGGUCAAAGGAGCAAUUCGCUUCAGGAGGGGGUCGCGGCAGAUUAGAUAGUUGGCGGGGUAAUGGCCCACCAAGUCAGUGAUCUGUAUCCGGCCUGAGAGGGCGCGACGGAACGACGACUGGAACUGAACACGGUCCAGACUCCUACGGGAGGCAGCAGUGGGGAAUUUUGCGCAAUGGGGGAAACCCUGACGCAGCAACGCCGCGUGGAGGAUGAAGUACUUCGGUACGUAAACUCCUUUCGAUCGGGACGAUAAUGACGGUACCGGAAGAAGAAGCCCCGGCUAACUUCGUGCCAGCAGCCG
rnacentral:rRNA from 1 species